UAGGUUUUCUUUUUCCCUUCCCUUUUCACCACCAAAUUAAAAUGUUUUUGGAAUGUUUUUUUCUAAAAUUUUUUGCCCUUAAUUUCAAGGGUUAGCAGUUCUUGUCGUCUACUCCUUCUGUCCCAAAAAGAACUAAUUUUUUUCUAUGAAUAUGGACAUGCAAAAUUGAUUUUUUUUGGGACGGAGGGAGUAGCUUGAUGCUCUUCUCGAUCUGACCGUACGUCCAAUCGGAGCGAGGGUUCAGCGAGGUUUGGUGAUCGAUAACGAAGCCGUUUACUUGUGCGAGAGAGCAGCAACGAAUUCAAAGGUCACCGAUCGAAGCUGCAUUGCACAUCAGGCGAGAAGGCGAGAGCUCGAAUGGAUGAAGAAAGAAGCAUAAUCGUCUUGUGAGUACAAAAGCUCAGUGCCAGACACUCAAUCAGGGGGUACCAUUUUUCCUCGAAGCGUCAAUAGAAGCUAGAGACAUGAUGCUAAAUGGGUUGUUAAGGCGACGACAAUAUGUAAUAAAUUAAUUAGUUACUGUAAUUAAUUAGUUAGUGCUACUCCGAUUAAGGAACGGAUGCAGUGUCAUCAUGAUCUUUUGGACUGCACCAUUGGGAGCUAGGAAGGAUUCUUCCAUCCAGAUUCAAAAGGACAAGUUUGCUUCUCCACAUAUGCCUUUUAAAAAAACCCCGGGAGCAAUUAAGAAUAAACCACCCUACUUGCGAGUCUGUGACGCAAGCAACAGCCAUUGGCCCGGCACAAAGGUUUCUCUGAAUAUAUAAGCUCCUUGCUCAACUAUCAACGCCUGCAACUGCAUCUCUAAUAAUUAAGCAUCCAAAAUGCUCCACGUACAUCAAGCACAAGCUCAUACAAGUUAGCUAGCUGCCAAAGUUAAUUAGCAUCACCGGCAUAGUGACAUGUUAGGUGUAACAGAUUCCGUAUAUCCCUGUGGCCCACAUGUCAGAAGAGUACUUAAGCUCUUGUUCGGAAGGCUUGAGAUUCUGGGGUGGGUAGCCACUGGUAAGCAUCAGGAAAAAAAAUAGAUUUUCAGCUUCCGGCUUUAAUUUAUUUUCUAAACUUUAUAACUUCAAUUCUUAGGAUCUUCAUAAAAAUCUAAACUGUUAAGGAGGGCUGAAAACUCUUUAGAAAAAAGUUGCAGUUGUCAAAAGCUUCUAAACAGGACCUAAGAUUGAUUAGAUGACACAUUACAACUUAACUUGUAAGCAUGGCAAUUAGCAUGGAGCUACUACAAUAUAAUGUACUACUUCCUCCAUCU